GAUCAUGGCUCAGGAUGAACGCUGGCGGCGUGCCUAACACAUGCAAGUCGAGCGGGAAAUCUUGGAAUGAUUCUUCGGAGGAAUGAAGAGAUGGGAGAGCGGCGGACGGGUGAGUAACGCGUAGGCAACCUGCCCUUUGCAGAGGGAUAGCCACUGGAAACGGUGAUUAAAACCUCAUAAUACUGAAGGUUCACAUGGACAUUUGGUCAAAGAUUUAUCGGGCAAAGGAUGGG
rnacentral:rRNA from 1 species